AGUAAUGCAUAGGAAUCUGCCCGGUAGUGGGGGAUAACUUGAGGAAACUCAAGCUAAUACCGCAUACGCCCUACGGGGGAAAGCAGGGGCUCUUCGGACCUUGCGCUAUCGGAUGAGCUUAUGUCGGAUUAGCUGGUUGGUGAGGUAAUGGCUCACCAAGGCGACGAUCCGUAGCUGGUCUGAGAGGAUGAUCAGCCACAUCGGGACUGAGACACGGCCCGAACUCCUACGGGAGGCAGCAGUGGGGAAUAUUGGACAAUGGGCGAAAGCCUGAUCCAGCCAUGCCGCGUGUGUGAAGAAGGCCCUCGGGUUGUAAAGCACUUUCAGUGAGGAAGAAGGCUUGUCGGUUAAUACCCGACAGGAAGGACAUCACUCACAGCGG
rnacentral:rRNA from 1 species